CCCACAUGUCUGGAGUAUGAAGGUGAAUUUCUUUGCUAUACAUUCUAGUGGUAUACAAACAAUAAAUACACCCAUUUGAUACAAAAGAUACCCUCAACCUACGUUUCCACUAAUGUCAAACACAGUUCUGUGGCUAGUAUAUAAAAGUCACCUAAACUUUAAUUAAGUCGUUUUAAGUUAAAACUUUCAAACAGUCGGAAUGCAUUUAAUAGUAGUUUGUAUGAAAUAUUUCAAAGGAUCAACUAAUUUAAGACAUUAAUUCGUUUAUAGCUUUGCAAAUUGUCUUCUUCUUUCUUAAAAGCAAAAUAAAUGUUUAAGAUUUAAGUCAGAAUAUAAUUGCGGACAAGACAUUGCGGAACCAUAUUUGAAUCAUAGAAUAUAAAAAAGGAUAUAUAUAAUGUUAUUUAAUUCCAUUUUUCUCUUAUGCCUAAGUUUCAUUAGUAUUAUAACGAUUGUCCACUUCUGAGUUACAUGUUUCGUUUCAGGUAUAUCUGUAGCAGUGGUAGGUGGCGCCUCCAUCGAAAGACAUAGCUGGUAAAAAACCGCCUUGUUUUGUAAACGACGACCGAUUCACCUGCUGUGAAUUUGCUCUAUGAAACCUCUUUACCAAUUGUCAUCGAACGAAUACGCUCUUUAAGCUCUCAUAUCGAAUCACGUUUACGAGAAAUGGAACAAACAUAUUGUACAGAAAGUGGCAGUUUUAUGGAGUUUUCAAUGAACAUUUCUGCAGGCAAUGAAACAUUCUUACAUGAAUUUAUUUCCAAUCAGUCGUCUUUUCUAGAGACGAUGGAGGAACAUUACGACAGGCUCAAUUUACUCACCAAUUACUUGGAACAAUUAAGGAAAACGGCCAAUGACGAUGCGUCUAACAAGUCUUUAGGAUCGAUCCAGAAUCGUAUAUAUGACGUCAUGUGUUCCAUGAAAAUUGUACUGCGAUCGGAAAAUCAAGAUCCUGUCGCUGUUGUUCCAGGUGGAAACUUGUCUGAAACCUUCAUACUGAGCCACCAAAAUAAUACAAGAUGCGAGCAGCAGAUUUUGGAAUAUAUCACUAUGCAUCAUAGUAACAAAGUUGCGAGGUAUCUCGCGCCAAUGUACGCUGCAGUGAUUGACUAUCUUACAUGACGUCCUAAGCAUUAAUAUUUGUGGCUAUUCUGCAUGAUGAACAUUUUAAAAGUGGUAGUAAAACGAGAUGAUGGAACGUCCAUAACAUUUUUUUCAGCAAUUUGACAGUACACAUUUACUAUGCUCAUACCUACAUCGUUAUAUUUCACAAAAUGACUCGGGAUUGUUACAGCGUACCUCUGUUAUUUUUAAGUGUCUUUAUGUAAAGAAUAAAUUACUUUAGAGCGAACACCCCAUCUGUUUGUUCUACAGAGUGUGUUGUUCUGGAAAAUUUAAUAAACUCCAUUCAAUUUGUCUAAGGAAAAGAAAAUAUUAGUCUUCCUCUGUUCUUGUCUACUUUAAAUUUAAAUCAAUAAUUAACUUUAAAACUUUUGUUAUAAUUUUAUCUUUACAUUAUAUUGUGUGAUUUAUGCGUUAUCUUAAUAUGUCGCUUUUACUUUUUUGUCAUUAUAUUUCAACAUAAGAUAUUUUAUGUAUUUAUUUCGAAACCUCAAUCAACAAUUUCUUUCUGAAUAUUAUGCACAGAUGAAUAAUUUAGCAGUACACUUUACGCAAUUAGAACGUUUAUUAUUUACAUUACUGAGAAAUUUUGA
rnacentral:misc_RNA from 1 species